rnacentral:rRNA from 1 species
GAAUAUUGGACAAUGGGCGAAAGCCUGAUCCAGCAAUGCCGCGUGAGUGAUGAAGGCCUUAGGGUUGUAAAGCUCUUUUACCCGGGAUGAUAAUGACAGUACCGGGAGAAUAAGCUCCGGCCAACUCCGUGCCAGCAGCCGCGGUAAUACGGAGGGAGCUAGCGUUGUUCGGAAAUACUGGGCGUAAAGCGCACGUAGGCGGCGCAGCAAGUCAGGGGUGAAAUCCCGGGGCUCAACCUCGGAACUGCCCUUGAAACUGCAGUGCUAGAAUCUUGGAGAGGCGAGUGGAAUUCCGAGUGUAGAGGUGAAAUUCGUAGAUAUUCGCAAGAACACCAGUGGCGAAGGCGGCUCACUGGCCCGGUACUGACGCUGAGGUGCGAAAGCGUGGGGAGCAAAC